GCACUAGUGGUAUAGUGGUAGCAUAGGUCCUUGCCAAAUCAGGCGCCCCUGGGCGUCUGGUGCCGUACGGACCAGACCCGAGUUCGAUUCUCGGCUAGUGCA
rnacentral:tRNA from 1 species